CUUUGCCCGCACUACUGCCCACGACCAGUUACUCGCCUGGACAACCACUACCGCUGCUCGCCUGGACGACCGCCACAGUUGCUCGCCUGGACUCCGAACGCAGCUACCUGCUCCGCCGUGCCUACCGCCGUCGCUCCUCUACUCAGAUGUGUCUUUGUUCAAUGGUUGAUACGCUGGAUGAGGAUGGAGGUAUUUUGUAGAAUAUCAGAGAGUUGGGCAAGGAGGACCUUUAUGUAGAAUUGGUAUAUGUUAUUAAAUUUGAACUCAUCAGGUUCUUGUUAUGAUUAUUGUUAUUCUUGCUUAUCUAUUUUCUAUUUAAGUGUUUGUUGAUGAUGCCUGCAAAUUUUAGUUGCUCUUUAUUGACUUGUGAAUUGUUUGGAAAUAUAGAAAGUUAGCAAAA